rnacentral:rRNA from 1 species
AGUGAACGCUGGCGGUAGGCCUAACACAUGCAAGUCGAACGGCAGCACAGUAAGAGCUUGCUCUUACGGGUGGCGAGUGGCGGACGGGUGAGGAAUACAUCGGAAUCUACUUUUUCGUGGGGGAUAACGUAGGGAAACUUACGCUAAUACCGCAUACGACCUACGGGUGAAAGCAGGGGAUCUUCGGACCUUGCGCGAUUGAAUGAGCCGAUGUCGGAUUAGCUAGUUGGCGGGGUAAAGGCCCACCAAGGCGACGAUCCGUAGCUGGUCUGAGAGGAUGAUCAGCGACACUGGAACUGAGACACGGUCCAGACUCCUAAGGGAGGCAGCAGUGGGGAAUAUUGGACAAUGGGCGCAAGCCUGAUCCAGCCAUACCGCGUGGGUGAAGAAGGCCUUCGGGUUGUAAAGACCUUUUGUUGGGAAAGAAAAGCAGCAGGUUAAUACCCCGCUGUUCUGACGGUACCCAAAGAAUAAGCACCGGCUAACUUCGUG